ensembl:lncRNA
AGCUCCUGCCCGCUCUGGGUGGGAGCUUUGGGCUCGGCACAGGGGCUCUGUUGGUGUGGCUGUAGAAGGAGAGGGUGGGAUAGAGCUGGUCAGAGCUGGGGAGGUGCCCCUGCUGCUGCCCCUGCCCAGUCUGUCUGCUGGUGAUGGAGGGGUUUCAUUCUGCUGCACUGGGCCCCUCUGUCUGUCUGUCUGUCUGUCUGUCCCAUACUGCAGGGCUGGGGGCUCUGGCACGGCUGGGGGCACCCCAAGUAGCAGCUGGGGCUGCAUUUACAGGACACAGAGAGAGGGGAAAGGGUUUGGAUCACGGAGAUAUAGGAGGGAGCAGGGAGCCCCCCGCCCCAGCUGCCUGCAGUGGUGCCUCUGCUGCUUUAUCACCCUCUCCUGGCGCUGAAUUAUUGAGAGUGUUGCUCUCGUUUAUUGCCGUGCUGGAGGAGAGCUGCCUCCAGCCUGGUGCUGCUCUGAAUGUGAUUAUGGGGCUGUGGAUGUCAGAGCCAGCUGGGCCCCCGAGACCCAUCUGCUGCCCCCCUCACUCCUGUGCUUCCCUUAUCCUUAUUCAUUCCCUCCCUCCCCGCCUGGCUCUGCGCUGGUGGUCCCCCUGCUCCUUCCAGCUGUGCCCCUGGAGGACAGAGACUGAGAGCCUGAGGGGAGCAGCACUGCCUGCCUGCCAAGCCAGGGGCAGCAGGGCUGGUGAGCAGGACCCCAGACCCAUCCCCAGGGUGGCUCGGACCCCUCCUGCCGUGUGCCCUGUGCUGGCACCUGGGGCUGCUGCAGAAGCCCCCCUGUGGGGCACAGGGCUGCCAGUUCAGAGGGUGCAUUACUUGGGUUCGGUCACAGCCCCCUCCUCACCUGGGGAGGCCAUACCUGGUGCUCCAUCUCUGGGAUUCAGAGCAGGCGCUCAGAGUGUCUCCAGUGACCUCUGAGAGCUGCAGGAGGAGGAGGAAGGAGCAGGGACAGAUGGAAGGUUUAACAGGGUGCCAGGGAACCUUGUCAGCCCCUUCUCGCUGCCCCAGCUUGGGGCAGGGACCAUCCCUGUGGUGCUGGGGACGUGGGACCUUCCUUGCCAUGGGAUGGAUGCUCCUUGUCACACAGCAGCUCUGAUCUGUCAGUGCCUUCAUCUAAUUGCUUGAUGUCUUCGAAUAACUACUAAUGAGCUUCUAAUUAAUGAAUGCCUUGGCUUGGGGGCAUUUUGAGUGGGUGGCAGGAGAGGAUUAGGCUGGUGCUGGUGUCCCUGGGUGCUGUGGGCUGCCAGCACUGCCCUCACAGGGUGACCCCAGGGCUGGAGCACCUGAUGUCCCAGCGCAGCCUCGAUGGCCCUGAGGCAGAGGCCGUGUCCUGCCUGAUCUGCAGCUCCCUGGCCGCUCUCAGGAGUGCCAGCACCCAGCUUUGCCCUGUGGGGAGUGCUGCAGGGACCAGGGGGUCCCACCAAGCACCAGCAGCCCCCGGGACACCCAGUGCCCCCGUGGCUGUGUGCUGUGCCCCUCAGCAGGUCCAGGACAUGGCAUCAUGGCAUCAUGGCAUCAUGGCAUCGUCCUCUCUGCUGGGAGAGGAAACAUGGGGCUCCCAGUGCUGCCAGGUGUUGGAAUUCCACUGCAUCCUGUGGUGGGAAUCUGGGCACGGAGCUGGGCCAGCUCUGGGCUGGCAGCAGCUCUGGUAGGUGCCCAGGGCUGGGUGCAGGGCCCUGGCACCUGGAUGUGCCACAGCUGUGCUCAGUGGGGCUGGGGGCUCCAGGCAGACCCCUGGGCUUGUUCCUGGUGGAUGAAGCUCCCAGAUGUCCCAGGGUGUCCCUUGGAGCAGGCCUGAGCCUUUCUGCCCUUUCCCAAGGAGAGGAUGGCACCGCUCUGGCUGCCUCGGGCCCCUCCCAGCAGCUCUGCACU